CUACGCAUGCGCAGACGCGGCCGGCAGCGAGAAGCGACAAGAUGGCGGCCGCCGGCCGUUUUUGGGGCUUAGUCGUGGCCUUGUGCGUUUUGGCCGCCUCUUUCGCCGCCGAGGAGCCCAAGAAACCCCCCUCCAAGCCUGCGAAGAAGAAGGACAUUCGGGAUUACAAUGACGCCGACAUGGCGCGGCUGCUGGAGCAGUGGGAGAAAGAUGAUGAUAUAGAAGAAGGGGAUCUUCCAGAGCAUAAGCGCCCAUCUGCACCAAUAGAUUUCUCUAAGAUUGACCCCAGCAAGCCUGAGAACAUUUUGAAAAUGACAAAGAAAGGGAAGACUAUUAUGAUGUUUGCCACAGUGUCUGGGGAGCCUACUGAAAAAGAGACAGAAGAAAUUACAAAUCUGUGGCAGGGGAGUCUUUUCAAUGCCAACUAUGAUGUACAGAGGUUUAUCGUUGGCUCAAAUCGCGCCAUCUUCAUGCUUCGUGAUGGAAGCUAUGCAUGGGAGAUCAAAGACUUCCUGAUAAAUCAAGAGAGGUGUGCUGAUGUAACUCUGGAAGGUCAGGUGUACCCUGGCAAAGGAGCCAAGGAGAAAGAAAAAAACAAAAAUAAGUCUAGGCCUGAAAAAGCCAAAAAGAAAAAAGAUACUGAAAAGAAAUCUGAAACAUUCAAAGACAAUAAUCACGCAAGCAAACCAAAAGAAGAUCUAUGAUGUCAAAUACAUUGCACUGAUUAUUAGAAGGAGUUUUGGAGAGAGGAACAGAGUUGGAAUGGGUUUCCAGGUUGUGAUGAUCAAGGCGGCAGUUUACUUAUUAAUGUGAAGCAUAUAUUUAGUAACAACAAAGUUAAUAGUUAAUAUCUGGGGACUGCCUGGUGAGCAGCAGCUCAUCUACUCUCAGUUAAUUGUUUAACUGUAAAAUUGGAAAGUAUGUGUAAUUUCAGUAUUGGGGACUUUGCCAAAUGGAGAGGAAGAAUUCUCCUUUAGAGUCCUGUUUAGCAAGUUUCAAGGAAACAGCAACAUGAAUAAUUCAAGGGUGAUGAAGAGAUUGACAAAAAGUUUUACCCAGUAUGGACGGAAGCUGCCCUUGUAUCCAACAAAAGCCAAUUUAUCUAUUUGAAGGGAAGAAAAAGAAUGGAGUUUCUGAAACUCGUCUGAUCAACGAUUUUUCCAUUGUGCCCAUCAAUCACAACUACUUGGAUCCCGUCUUCAGAAAGAUGAAACUUUUUUCCUUCAACCUACAUAGUGAAUUAAAGGGGGGGAAAUCCAUUAUAACCUUAGAAUCCUAGAGACACACAUUCCUUUUCUGUACCCAAUCAUAGAUUUUGAUGUUCACCAAAAGAAAAGAAAAACACAUUUUUAAAAAAGGGCUCUUUUCUUGCUUGACAGCAAGUUAAAUGAUUGAAUACAAUAAACCAGAAUUCACCAAACAACCUUGGGCAAAAAAUAAUAAUACUUACGGAAAUAUAUGCGAAGUCAUCCCGGAGAUGGAAAUAUCUAGUCUUGUAGCUAUCGAUCUUCACUUCCACAAAAUGGUCCCUCUUCUAUUGUAAAGAAUAGAAAAUUUUGUUGGUCUUUGUACUAUUUUUCCAAAACAUUUCCUCACUAAAAGCUUUUUCUCUAUAUGGUGUGGUUUUGAAAUACAGUAGAGUCUCACUUAUCCAACACUCGCUUAUCCAACAUUCUGGGUUAUCCAACGCAUUUUUGUAGUCAGUGUUUUCAAUACAUCGUGAUAUUUUGGUGCUAAAUUUGCAAAUACAGUAAUUACUACAUAGCAUUACUGCGUAUUGAACUACUUUUUCUGUCAAAUUUGUUGUUUAACAUGAUGUUUUGGUGCUUAAUUUGUAAAAUCAUAACCUAAUUUGAUGUUUAAUAGGCUUUUCCUUAAUGCCUCCUUAUUAUCCAAUAUAUUCACUUAUCCAACAUUCUGCCGGCCUGUUUAUGUUGGAUAAGUGAGACUCUACUGUAAAUCCAUGGUUUUCAUGAUCCAUAAAAGUCUCAUAGAAGAAAUGACAACGAAUUAGAAAGUUCCAGGCUCCAUAUGGAAGGAGUAACCUUGGAUAUUGAUACUCGAGGCCAAAGUGUACCACACUCUUUAUUAUUCAUUCAGGUUUGAAAUUAUGCUGAAAUGGGUAAUGUUUGAUCAAAAACUCCUGUUGAAUGAGGUUCUAAAGCAUAUCCAUAUCCUCCAAUGUUUCAUAGAUGAAAUUGGGGACUUGUCGCCAAGUAAUAUCAGAGUGUGGUCAAGAUAGAAAAAAGUUAUUAAUAGGAAGAUCAUACAAUCCUAGGAAGAGCUGCAGGAGUUUGCUUUUGUCAACCUACUGGGAAGAAUAAGGUUCUGCCCCUUUCCUUUCGCCAACUGGAUUAAUUGAGUGAAAACUUGGAAAUACAACACCUAGCACUGAAGAGUGCCUCAUAAUGAGUGUAGUAAUAGGGUUACGAUAGUUUGAAUGACCUGAAGCAUCUCCCUGUUGUUUACCUAUCCUGCCCCCUCUGUGAUGUAAGCUGGUACUUUUAGGGAUGUUUCUCUCCAUCUCUCCUCCCUAUAAGUCAUCUCUUGGCCUUCUAAGCUGUAACUAGGUAAAAGUAAAGGUUUUCCACUGACGUUAAGUCCAGUCAUGUCUGACUCUGGGGGUUGGUGCUUAUCUCAAUUUCUAAGACAAAGAGCCGGCAUUGUCCAUAGACAUUGUCCAUGUGCCCGGCAUGACUGCAUGGAGUGCCGUUGCCUUCCCGCCGGAGCAGUACCUAUGGAUCUACUCACAUUUGCACGUUUUCGAACUGCUAGGUUGGCAGAAGCUGGGGCUAACAGUAGGUGCUCACCCUGUCCCCCAGAUACAGACCUGCAACCUUUCGAUCCGCAAGGUCAGCAGCUCAGCGCUUUAACAUGCUGCACCACCUGGAGCUCCAAGCUGUAACUAGGUCAGAUUAAAACCCCGAGUAACUUUCCUAUCUUGGAGUUCCGGCAUUAGAGCUUCGUUUCUUUCUCCAAGUCAUUAACAUGUUAGCUCCUUAAAUGUAGUUAUCUAACCUCUGAAUGCAAUCUGACAAAAACUAUUUUUGCACUUUGCAGCAUGGGGCCCAAGGGCAUGAUUGCAUCCCGGUCCCAGAACGUCCGACAAAUCAAAAUGUUCCUGCUUUCUUUAACAAGUUUUGAAGUGACUUAGAUGUAACUUAAGGUGAGACAGACUGAUGGGGAGCAUGCUCAGCUCUGUGCCUUUUCACUAUUCGAUGUCAAGCCCUGAGAGGCCAUUGGCAAGUGGAAGGCAACUGGGCAGAAGGAAUUGCCGCUUAUCUUUUUCCUAAAGAGAAAUUGGAGCCCCUGGUGGUGCAGUGGAUUAAACUGCUGAACUUGUUGACUGAAAGGUUGGCAUUCAGAUCUGAGGAGCUUCUGCCAACCUAGCAGUUUGAAAACAUGCAAAUGUGAGUAGAUCCAUAGGUACCGCUUCUGCGGGAAGGUAACGGCUCUCUAUGCAGUCAUGCUGGCCACAUGACCUAGGAGGUGUCUACGGACAACACCGGCUCUUCGGCUUAGAAAUGGAGAUGAGCACCAACCCCCAGAGUCGGACACGACUUGACUUAAUGUCAGGGGAAAACCUUUACCUAAAGAGAAAGGGGAAAGGAAUGGAAUGGUGGUAGUUUUGGAUGAGAUGUCAGGAGCUAGAUAAUUGCAGCUUAGUUCCCACUGAACAGAAGAUAUCUGGAUGCUUCAGGGAACCAACAAGGUGCAGUGGUUUGAGUGUUGGUGAAGGACUACAGGAAAGCAAGAUUCAAACCCCUGUUCAAUCAUAGAAACCCUGAGCAAGUUGUAUGCUCUUAGACUUGGAGGAAAGCCAUAGAAAGGAUCACCAUAAGCCUGAGUUGGCUUACAACAAUAUGUGCAAGUUAAUGAAUAUGCAACGCCCAAAAUAAAUAGCUUCGUUUAACAAUCUCCAUGCAUUUUGAUACAACCAAAUCAAGAAAUGAAAAAAUUAACCAGAAUCGGUUCAUUAAAUAAACCAACUGUUCUUACUGAAAUUGUGCUAGGAAGCUUCUUGGGCAUUGGUACUUCUAUAGAUGGUUUUUCGGCAUGUUUUGGGUAGGCUUUAGCUUCACAGUCACUGCUCUCUGGGUUCCUGGGGAUGUUGGCUUUGAUUCUGAUUCUCUCACAGCCUUUGACCGAGCAGAAGGCAAAGGGCUCUUUUUCAUGUUGAGCUCUUAGCUUGAGAAACAAUAACCUGCGAAACACAUGAAAUAAAGAAUAACUAGGAGCAGCCGUGGUGACAUGGAGAAGGUAAGAAGUGUAGUGCUGCAGAAAGGCAGGCAUAUUUCACAGCCAGGUAAACAUCAGCCCUGGAUUUGGCAGAAACAUGCCAGAUCCGAGGCAGCUCUGGGACAUUUAUAGAUCAGGUUAAACUGUCUGGUGUAGAUGAGUUCUACAUAAGGGACACAAUAACAGCACACUGCUGAAAGUUAUGCCAUCCAUCAGAGAGAUAUAUGAUACUCGGAUAAAUUUGCUGUGCUCUUACCCAGUCUCUUCAUCCCAAUAGUAGUACCCCUUGGUAGGGUUUCGAUACUCAAGUUUGUCCAUUUGAAGAGCCGGGUAAAAUGUACCAGUUUUGUUUGUUUUCUUCGUAAGCCGAUCAUGGAUAUCCGAGAGAAUGGAGAAUGUUGUCCCCCUAGGAUAACAAAACCCAAUUGCGAUCCAAUCAUUCCUAAAUUAAAAGGGGAAAAUGGAAAUGUAUUAAACUUGUGACAAACGCUCCAAAGCCUAUGCUUUAAGCCAAGAUGCCAAAAAAAAAUAAUUUGUAUUUCUAAAAAACUUUAAAAAUCAGGACAGUAAAUGAAGAACAACACUCAGAAAAUGGGAAUUCCAGACAGGAAACAAUCAGGGCCAGCUAACACUUCCCAACAAAGGAUUCCCUCAGGCAGGAAGCAAGCAGGCUUUGAAGCUGCAAAGCCAUUCAAUGCUAAUCAAGGUGGCCAAUGGCAACAUUCACACUUGCCUCAAACAGACAAAGAGUUCUUUCUCCCACCCUGGAUGUUAUUCCACAGAUAUAUAAACCCCACUUGCCUAGUUUUCCAACAGACCUCACAACCUCUGAGGAUGCCUGCCAUAGAUGUGGGCGAAACGUCAGGAAAGAAUGCUGCCGGAACAUAGCCAUACAGCCCAGAAAACUCACAGCAACCCAAUAAAUGUAAAGUGGGUCACCAACUCCUGUGAUUCGGGAACUAUUUUGGCCCACAUAUUCUCUCAGAUAUUUAUAUCUCAUGUUUUCACAUCCAGAGGGACUUGAGAUACUUAGAUGAGAACACAGUCAAAGUAUGUGUGAGCUUAUCAGAACAGUUAUUGAAGCUAUGCACGAAUAUCCUUUUUCUGUAGCACCUUUAAACUACAUUACUGGACUUGAGUUUUGUCUGUAUGGGCCACACUCACUUGUUGAAAUUAAUAAGCCAGAUGGCCAGUUCCUCUGGAGCGGUCUUGUCCCAAUGGAUGGUGUAGCCUUUCUGCAGAGUGAUCACAGGCUGAUAUUGCUGGUAGUGGGUGCUUUUACUUAGAGCCCCUUCUAAGUAUAAUGGAUGGGUGUAGUAGUCAUUUUUUAUGAUCUUCAUCCUCGUGUUGGCUGAUUUGUAGGCUUGGAUGUAUACCUGGAAUAGAAAGAAAACCCAUUUGUUCAACUACAGUAGAGUCUCACUCAUCCAAAAUAAACGGGCCAGCAGAACCUUAAGUAAGGUAAAGGUUUCCCCUGACUCUGGGGGUUAGUGCUCAUCACCAUUUUUAAGCCGAAGAGCCGGUGUUGUCCAUAGACACCUCCAAGGUCAUGUGGCCAUAGGCAUGACUGCAUGGAGCGCCGUUACUUUCCCACCGGAGCGGUACCUAUUGAUCUACUCACAUUGGCAUGUUUUCGAACUGCUAGGUUGGCAGAAGCUGGAGCCAACAGUGGGUGCUCACUCCACUCCUGGGGUUUGAACCUGGGACCUUUUGGUCUCCACCUCAGUGCUUUAACGCACUUCGCCACCGGGGCUUGGAUAACCUUACACCAGAACCUUGGAUAAGCGAAAAUCUUGGAUAAUAAGGAGAUACAGUAGAGUCUCACUUAUCCAAGCUAAACGGGCCGGCAGAAGCUUGGAUAAGCGAAUAUCUUGGAUAAUAAGGAGGGAUUAAGGAAAAGCCUAUUAAACAUCAAAUUAGGUUAUGAUUUUACAAAUUAAGCACCAAAACAUUAUGUUAUACAACAAAUUUGACAGAAAAAGUAGUUCAUUAUGCAGUAAUGUUAUGUUGUAAUUACUGUAUUUACGAAUUUAGCACCAAAAUAUCACGAUAUAUUGAAAACAUUGACUACAAAAAUGGCUUGGAUUAUCCAGAGGCUUGGAUAAGUGAGACUCUACUGUAUUAAGAAAAAAAGCCUAUUAAACAUAAAAUUGCAUUAUGAUUUUGCAAAUUAAGCACCAAAACAUCGUGUUUUACAAGAAAUUGACAGAAAAAGCAGUUCAAUACACAAUAAUGUUAUGUAGUAAUUACUGUAUUAUACCCCAGUCAAAAGAGCCAAAUUUAACAGACGGAUAUCCAAUAAGUGCUGGAAAUGUGAUAAAGAAAUAGGAACUUUUUAUCACCAAUGGUGGAAGUGUAAAAAUAUUAAUAGGUACUGGAAAAAUAUACAUCAGAUAACACAAAAAAUACUACAAAUCAAGUUCCCAUUAAAACCGAAAAUAUAUUUACUAGGUAUAACAAACCGGAAAUUGAAGGAAAAUGAAGAUAAAAUGUUUUUCUUAAUGAGUACGGCUGCAAGACUAGUUCUAGCCAAAGUUUGGAAACAAAAAAAUGUACCCACUACAGAUGAAUGGAUUAUAAAAUUGCUGGAUUUAAUACAAAUGGACAUUCUGACACAGAAAUUAAGUGAUGGGGGAAAAAAAGACAGACUGGACAGGCUUCAGAGAUUUUAUUUAAAAAGGUGGAAAUACAUUCACAAUAAACCUAUCUGACGCAUGAAGACAAAAACUUCUUGAGAGUCAACUGGAAAAGAAAAUGAAUGAAAACCAAACAAAACUCCUCAAGAGGACAAUGGGAAGUUUUAAUAUAUUUUUUAAUAUAUUUUUUCUCUGUUUUUUUUUUGAGGGAGGUGUUCUUCUUUUUGUUUUUAUUCUAUAUAUAUUUUUCUUUUUCCCCUUAUAUUUUCCUUUCUUUCUCCUGUACCCUCAUGUCUCUUCACCUAUGUUCCCCUCCCCACCUCUUUGCACUAUCCCCACCAAUUUUGUUUUCCUCGCUUUUGCUGUAUUAACACUUAUAAAUCAAUAAAAAAUUAAAUCCAAAGAAAAAGCCUAUUAAACAUAAAAUUGCAUUAUGAUUUUGCAAAUUAAGCACCAAAACAUCGUGUUUUACAAGAAAUUGACACAAAAAGCAAUUCAAUGCACAGUAAUGUUAAGUAGUAAUUAUUGUAUUUAUGAAUUCAACGCCAAAAUAUUGCAACAUUUACUACAAAAACAAUGACUACUAAAAGGCAGAUUGCCUUGGAUACAGAACCUUGGAUAAGUGAGACUACUGUAUAUAGCAUACCAUAGACCUAACCUGUUUUGAAACUUAUUAUUGACUUCAAAAAAUGUUUCUUCUUCCUUGUCAGUGUUUUCUUUUGCAAAGCCUCCCUGCUCUUAAUCAAGGGAAUGUUUUGCAAAGAGAGACACCCUUGCAAGUCAGGAAGAAGAAAAGUAUAUAUUCAUUAAUCUUAUGAAAGCAUUUUCCCCUGAAAUAUUUGUUAAACUCCUACAGAUAUAUAAACAUUAACCCUCUGCAAGCUUUUGCAACCUCUAAGUAUCUUUAUAUGUGUAUCUAUAAUAAUAAUAAUUUUAUUUUUAUACCCCGCCUCUAUCUCCCCAAAGGGGACUCAGGGCAGCUUACAUGGGGCCAAGCCCGAAUAAAAACAAUAGCCAUAUAAAACACAACAAUAGACAAAAAACAUGAACAAUUAUAAAAAUUUAAACAUCUACCGUGUUUCCCCGAAAAUAAGACAGUGUCUUAUAUUAAUUUUUGCUCCCAAAGAUGGUCUAUGUCUUAUUUUCAGGGGAUGUCUUAUUUUUCCAUGAAGAAGAAUUCACAUUUAUUGUGAAUGAACAUUUAUUAUAUACAGUAGUUGUCAUCAUAAACCAGCAUAACCAGGCAAACUGUGAAUCCUAUCAAGAAUGUCUUGUUACUACCAUUAUUUCCAUGUACAACACUUUAUGAUCGAGCCCCUCCAGUCUGGGACAUCAAUGCAGUCUGAAUGCCGGAUCAGCCAGUUAUCUUCUUUGAUCAGGUUUGCAGAAGCUGGGGCUAACAGCGGGAGCUCAGCCCGCUCCCCGGAUUCAAACAGACGACCUUUCGGCCUGCAAGUUCAGCAGCUCAGCGGAUUAACCCAGUGCACGAGCAGGGGCUCCACAUGAUAUGAGCAGAGACCAGCAAACACUGUGGUUUGUGAGCUGACGAGAAACAUUUGCUUUGGCAUAACGGGAUCAGAAUGCUGGGUUGGAGAGGGCCUCUUAUAUCUUCUGCAUGUACUUUAUCUUAUGCUUAAGUUAUGUGAAACAGGCUAUUUGGGGCCGGGCUGUGGCGCAGGCUGUUGAGCAACCAGCUGCAGCCAGCUGAAACAAAUCACUGACCAAGAGGUCAUGAGUUGGAGGCCAGCUCGGAGCCUGCGUUUGUCUCUGUCUUUGUUCUAUGUUAAAGCAUUGGAUGUUUGCCUUAUAUGUGUAAUGUGAUCCGCCCUGAGUCCCCUUCGGGGUGAGAAGGGCGGAAGAUAAAUGCUGUAAAUAAAUAAAUAAAUAAAUAAAUAAA